UUUUUACAGAUAAUAAUGAUAGGUUCAGCCAACCCUUCUCUUCAACUCAAACUACACUGUGGUGUCCUAAUUCCAGACAUGGGGCUCGCAGACCACCCACUUGGCCCCCUGUUGAAAAGCUGCCUGGGCCCAACGCUUCCCUUACUCUUGGGUCUGGCCACCGCAUGCAGCCAAAUUGCUUACAGUGUUUCAUCAGCAACUUAAUCCACAGCUCCCCUGUGGGUUCUGAAGAGCAGAAAGCUAGCUGAAGAGGCCAGCAAUAGCAAAGACACAACCCAAAGUCAAUCCAAUCUCACUGGGGGCGCCAACAUCUCAGUGAUUUUUGAGUCAGAGGCUCGGACUUGGCAACGGACAAAGACGGAAGUGAUACACCUUGCAGGAGAAGAGUGACCAGCUGCAGUGCCCAGGUCCCAGCCAGCUCUUAUGGUGGCAUCACCAUCACACCUACCCCCAAGAAUAAGAGAAAAUGAAGAGUGGGAUGAAGAGAGGAAAUAAGUUCAAGAAAGGAAGAGGGCGGAGCACACGGAUGAGGUAAAGCAGCAGGGAGAAGGAGAGGAGUAUAGAAGGCAUUCCGGGUGUGCCUGGCUGGCUCAGUCAAUGGAGCGCGUGACUCUUGAUCUUGGGGUUCUGAGCUCAAGCCCCACAUUGGAUGUAGAGAUUACUUAAAAAUAAAAUCUUAAAAAAAAGAAGGCAUUCCAGAGACAUUUUUACCUUCAGAGCAACAUUGGAAUGAAUUUCAAUAAUAAUAAAAAAAAAUGCCUGGUUUACCUUGCUUCACCCCAUCUCAAACUUACUUUUUUUUUUUUUCAAACUUACUUUGAAGGAUACUCAUGCCAAGUCUACCAAAGCAAAGCACAGACUGGACGGGAUUAUCUAAGAUAUUUUUUUGAAAUGCUUUCAUUUGAAAUGUGCAGCUAAUUGGUAUAAAGUUUUUCACCUGAGUUUUUAUUUGCUAACAUUGCCAUGGGCUUCAGCCAUUUCACCAUGUUUUUGCUCUUUGUCCUUUUGCAAAAUUUUCUUUACCCUCAUGGACCAAAAGCCCAAGUAAACAAUCUCCUUAGUUACAGAACUAAAUGACUGACUUACCGGGUAUUGAGGAUGUGUCUUCAUAAUUCCAAACCAAAAGAAGAAAGCCAGUGAGCAGCAGGAUCGGCAUGGUGGCCACAGGCAUGACUUCGGGCAUCAUGCUGGUGAUGUUAUAAUGCAUUGGGUUCAGCAUUUCCAAAACCAUCUUUUAUUCCUUGAUCUCAAGAGAAAAAACUUAGAGUCCUGUGGAAAUCAGAGGAGCAAAACAAAAAUUAGAGAAUCCCCCAAAGUAUACAUCCAGGACUCCUGUUGCUUCAGAGGAUGCUGUAGUGCAGAAAUCAGCGUUUGUUUUAUAAUGUGAUUGGACACCUAGACAAGACAAACUUGUGGUUACAAGUCAAAACAAGCAAGCCAAAGAGAGAUCUUUUGGCUUGAAGUACAGCAUUUCUGACCUUGGUAGAGUCUCAGGUUCGUUUAGACGCUUGGUUUGAUAGAACCUUAUCAUCUUGCCCUUGAGUGGGUAGAGUGGCUGAAUUCCCAAUUGAGAAUCAAAUUUCUUACCAAAAUACAAGAAAAUGAAGCUCAUUCCAGAGGUGGAGCCUUUCUGUGACUUCAUCAGCAGAUAUUGCUUAGGCAAUCUUUUUCUCUUGAUGCCAAAUCAAUUUUUUAAAAAGUAAUCCCUAACCCCCUUCCUUGCUCAAAAUUAAUUCCCCCAAAGAGUAAGUUUCUCUAGGAAGAAUAGUUGCUUGGGCAUUGUCGAGGUAUCCUCAGAGACUUCUAUUGGGUUGUUUGUUGAAUUCAGCGUGACUCACUCAGGACGAUCUUUUCUCUAUUGGCUUGAAUAAGGCUUAAAAUCUUUUGCACCACAGGCUGGAUGAAGCAGUACUCAUGGGGGCCAAUGUCAGAAGUAGUAGGAGAGAAGAAUGAGAGACGGAGAUUCCAGGGAGAGGAGAACGAGAUGGAAUGGGGGGGGGAGGAAGAAAACAAAGGACAGAAAGAGUAGAAUGCCACCAGCAAUAGGCUCAGGUCCACUCAUGCUUUGCCCACAGCAGCUAACCUCCUGUGCAAGACAAUUUUCAGUUUGAUUUGCUGGUUCUGUCAUGUUUCUCAACAAUGUAAUGUUGAGUCUGUCUUUUCAGUAAGGUUUUCUAAGACCAAUACUCACAGAGGAGAGUUUCAGGGAUGAUGGUUUGUUGAAGAGACCUAGACUGAAUAAACUUGCAUAGCAAGGCAAGAGCGACCAUUCAAUGUGGUUCUGGUGGCAGAUGACUGCUCUGAGGAUUACCCUCCCUUGGAAAGUGACCUGAGUUUUCAGGACUUAUAAUGGCUCUGAAACAGAUUUUGGCAGGAUUUUAUCUAGGAAUAGUUCUAGAUUCUUAACCAGGGCUUCUAAUUGGAUUUUGGUUGCUCUGUGAACUCCCUGAAAUGCUGCAUAAAGUAUUGUAUCUGCUCACCUGAACUUUUAGAGGGAAAGAACUUUUAUCAGAUUCUUAAAAAGUAUGUAAUUACAUUUCCCCCCUGAUCUAUGUGAGAUCUUAAUUUUAUUUUAUUUAUUUUUUAAUUUAUUUGACACGGAGAGAGGGAGCACAAGCAGGGGGAGUAGCAGGCAGAGAGAGAGGGAGAAGCAGGCUCCCCUUUGAGCAGGGAGCUGGAUGUGGGGCUGGAUCCCAGGACCCUGGGAUCAUGACCUGAGCCAAAGGCAGAGGCUUAAACCAAGGAACCACCAUUACAUCAUUCUGAAUAAACUCCCUGGAACUUUAUGACAGCCAGGAUCCUCAAGGUUUCUGUUGAUAUUGACGAAACUUGAAACCAAUGCUAAAGGUGUAAGUGAAGAAGGUGGUUGAGACAAAAAGGAGGAAGAUGCACCAGAGGAAGUGAUCCUGGCAGAAAACUUCACAUUAAAGAAACUCUCAGAAAAAAAAUUUUAGAAAAAAUAAAAUAAAAUAACUCUCAGAGAUAUUUCGCAGCAUUGAAGUCACAAAGAAUAACAUGUUGGAAGCUGACACAAAUUUAUAAAGGAGUAUGACGAUUCACCAAGGCUUAGAAAAGAUGCUCCGUCCAUAUCAUAAGUUACACAAGGAGGAGAUGGCAGCAAGAGAUAUUCAAAUACUCUCAUUUUUUUUUUUACAAACAAA